rnacentral:rRNA from 1 species
CCUACGGGAGACUGCAGUCGAGAAUCAUUCACAAUGGGGGAAACCCUGAUGGUGCGACGCCGCGUGGGGGAAUGAAGGUCUUCGGAUUGUAAACCCCUGUCAUGUGGGAGCAAAUUAAAAAGAUAGUACCACAAGAGGAAGAGACGGCUAACUCUGUGCCAGCAGCCGCGGUCAUACAGAGGUCUCAAGCGUUGUUCGGAAUCACUGGGCGUAAAGCGUGCGUAGGCUGUUUCGUAAGUCGGGUGUGAAAGGCGCGGGCUCAACCCGCGGACGGCACAUGAUACUGCGAGACUAGAGUAAUGGAGGGGGGACCAGAAUUCUCGGUGUAGCAGUGAAAUGCGUAGAUAUCGGGAGGAACACUCGUGGCGAAGGCGGGUUCCUGGACAUUAACUGACGCUGAGGCACGAAGGCCAGGGGAGCGAAAGGGAUUAGAUACCCGAGUAGUC